UCAAUGAGCUUCUAAAAUUCUCUUGUCUCCUACAUACCUUUCUAUUCUCUAAAUAGUCUAAUAUCGUAGGGAGUGCCAGUGAUAAAUCCUCUUGAGUGAGUGAGGUAUUUGUAGAACAGAAGAAGCUCCAAUGUCGGUGACGAGUUUGAGGAAGAAGCGGAAGCUUAUUGAACCCUGAAAUUUCAAACCUAGAGCUAAUAAGGCUAAUAGAUCAAAGCAAAUGUUGGUGCACACAACUGGUUCAAAACUUUUUAAUCAAAUUUAUGCUGAUGAGCGGAAGAAAAGGCCUAAUGGUUCACAUUCACAUCCAUCGUUGGUAUUUCGCAUUGCGCAUCAACAUGAUGGUCAGCCUGCUGAUGAAGAGUUUAGAAAAAUCAUUGUAUGAUAAUAUAGUUAACUACCAUUUGAUUCUUCAUGGUUAAACAAAUUAUUGAUAUCUAUUUGAUUUUUGAAUUUGCAAUUAGAGUUAGAUGAAGUAGAAAUCAAGCAACCAGAGUUGGCUAAAAAACCACUGAGUUAUAAUGAUAGUUUAAUAAGGGUCAUGGGACCAGAGAAACCUGGACGUCUUAGGGCAUUCAGUAUUUUUGUUAUACCUUUUUCUUUGUGGAGGAAAGAGGCCCAAUUCAUGGCGGAUAAAGUAGCCUUAAAGGCAAAGUAUGAAUCGAAGCUGAGCAUGAUGAGGGGGCAACCUGGUCAAGAUGGCUCAAGGAGUUCAUGAGGCUUUUUCCUGUCUCCGAAAUCAAGGAAUUGAUGUGCCUAUCACUUCCAUCUUCACUGAAUUAAUCUAUGGUCAGAUAUACUAUUCUUCCAUUACAUUAAAUGUUUGAAGUAAUAACAAAUAAUUUAUAGGAAUGUAUGAACCUAGGAUCCUACAGAAAAAGAUGCCAUAUUAAGGUCAUCCGCAUCGGCUAGUAAUCAUACGACA